GCCUCGAUAGUUCAACGGUAAGAACACCUCCUGCCGAUACUUGUGGUUCAUCUGGUGCGGAGACGAUCCGGGUUCGACUCCUGGUCGGGCG